CCUGGAAACAGAUGCUAAUACCGUAUAACAGAGAAAACCGCCUGGUUUUCUUUUAAAAGAUGGCUCUGCUAUCACUUCUGGAUGGACCCGCGGCGCAUUAGCUAGUUGGUGAGGUAACGGCUCACCAAGGCGAUGAUGCGUAGCCGACCUGAGAGGGUAAUCGGCCACAUUGGGACUGAGACACGGCCCAGACUCCUACGGGAGGCAGCAGUAGGGAAUCUUCCACAAUGGACGCAAGUCUGAUGGAGCAACGCCGCGUGAGUGAAGAAGGGUUUCGGCUCGUAAAGCUCUGUUGUUAAAGAAGAACGUGGGUGAGAGUAACUGUUCACCCAGUGACGGUAUUUAACCAGAAAGCCACGGCUAACUACGUGCCAGCAGCCGCGGUAAUACGUAGGUGGCAAGCGUUAUCCGGAUUUAUUGGGCGUAAAGCGAGCGCAGGCGGUCUUUUAAGUCUAAUGUGAAAGCCUUCGGCUCAACCGAAGAAGUGCAUUGGAAACUGGGAGACUUGAGUGCAGAAGAGGACAGUGGAACUCCAUGUGUAGCGGUGAAAUGCGUAGAUAUAUGGAAGAACACCAGUGGCGAAGGCGGCUGUCUGGUCUGUAACUGACGCUGAGGCUCGAAAGCAUGGGUAGCGAACAGGAUUAGAUACCCUGGUAGUCCAUGCCGUAAACGAUGAUUACUAAGUGUUGGAAGGGUUUCCGCCCCUUCAGUGCCUGCAGCUUAACGCAUUUAAGUAAAUCCGCCCUGGGGGAGGUACGAACCGCCAAGGGUUGAAAACUCAAAAAGAAAUUGGACGGGGGGCCCGGCCACAAGCGGGU
rnacentral:rRNA from 1 species